AUUUAUCGAAGCACUGCCAUCUCAAUUGCGGAACAAGACAAAGUAUUCUUUAUUUUAGAUUUGUGGGAAGAUUUUCCCGUUAACGGCGGUUUUGAAGACCUGCGGCGCCCUUUGCCGUAGCUGUGGCCCACUACUCCGCCCUGCCUCAGCCCCAGGCCACCCCGGAGGUGCUCUACACUGACUGUUCAUCAACAAAGCAGACUAUCGCUGAAGUAUGACUGGAAACUGGGACCCACACUGGCUACUGUAAACACCAUCGUCCUAAAGCCAGCCGUGCAGUCAAUGUGGCGCCGACAAGGACGUGCCAUACAUCCCACUAGCUACGACCGCUCCCAACAUUGUCGUGCAUGCCAUGAAGGCGAGGCGUCUGCUCUUCUCGACAUAUGUCGGUAACCAUUAGGCCAUCAUUCGAGCCCGAGUCGAUGGAAAUGAGCGUGUAGAGCUGGGAGGAGUCACGUCGCUGGCCCUGGACUAGCAGUCCCAUAUGAUCUAGUAUGCCCCUGGCAAGCGAAUCGAUGGAAUGAACAAGUAAACAACGAAUAUGGGGAUCCUUUGGACACAUGUGUAAUCCCCUGAUCCCACUCCACAGGAAAACCCUUGUUUCCAUGCACAUCUCGCAUGCAAUCCUCCCAAAAACCUCUCUUUGAUGAUGACGACCAGUAUUAUGUCACUGAUUUUUGUGGCUCAAAGAUAAUCUUCAUAUUCAGUUAACGAAAUAGGGUAUACAAAUGCCCAUACUCCGGUUGACAAGCAACAAGUCUUCAAAUACCAGCAACAUUGUCGCGACAACUUUGCGACUGUUUCUUUGUUGAGCUCUUUUGCUUAAACUGUGUUUUGGUCAAAAUACAAUAAAUGGGAGUACUUAAAAGAAGUUAA